rnacentral:rRNA from 1 species
AUUGAACGCUGGCGGCAUGCUUUACACAUGCAAGUCGAACGGUAACAGGCCUUCGGGUGCUGACGAGUGGCGAACGGGUGAGUAAUGCAUCGGAACGUGCCCAGAGGUGGGGGAUAACGCAGCGAAAGCUGUGCUAAUACCGCAUGUGAUCUGAGGAUGAAAGCGGGGGACCAGGCAGCAAUGUUUGGCCUCGCGCCUUUGGAGCGGCCGAUGUCAGAUUAGUUAGUUGGUGGGGUAAAGGCCUACCAAGCCGACGAUCUGUAGCUGGUCUGAGAGGACGACCAGCCACACUGGGACUGAGACACGGCCCAGACUCCUACGGGAGGCAGCAGUGGGGAAUUUUGGACAAUGGGCGCAAGCCUGAUCCAGCAAUGCCGCGUGAGGGAAGAAGGCCUUCGGGUUGUAAACCGCUUUUGUACGGAACGAAAAGGCUCUGGCUAAUACCUGGGGCUGAUGACGGUACCGUAAGAAUAAGCACCGGCUAACUACGUG